UAAGUGGGAGAAAGACCACUCUAAAUAAGAGUGGGAUGACGGUACACUAGAGAAAGCACCGGCAAACUUCGUGCCAGCAGCCGCGGUAAUACGAGGGGUGCUAGCGUUAUUCGGAUUUACUGGGCGUAAAGAGCGUGUAGGCGGUUUUUUAAGUCAGCUGUUAAAGAGCCCGGCUUAACCGGGCAGAGGCGGUUGGAACUGGAAAGCUAGAGUGCAGGAGAGAAAGGUGGAAUUCUCGGAGUAGCGGUAAAAUGCGUAGAUCUCGAGAGGAAUACCGGUUGCGAAGGCGGCCUUUUGGCCUGUAACUGACGCUGGAGCGCGAAAGCGUGGGUAGCAAACAGGAUUAGAUACCCUGGUAGUCCACGCCGUAAACGAUGAUCACUAGAUGUGGGUUUUGCUUAGCAAGAUCCGUGUCGUAGCUAACGCGUUAAGUGGUCCGCCUGGGGAGUACGGUCGCAAGAUUAAAACUCAAAGGAAUUGACGGGGGUCCGCACAAGCGGUGGAACAUGUGGUUUAAUUCGACACUACGCGAGAAACCUUACCUGGACUUGACAUGUAUCCGCUACUGAUGGAAACAUUGGGUUCUGUAGAAAUACAGACGGUUACACAGGUGCUGCAUGGCUGUCGUCAGCUCGUGUCGUGAGACGUCGGGUUAAGUCCUUGAACGAGCGCAACCCUUGCCGUUAGUUGCUAUCUGGUUACAGAUGAACUCUAACGGGACUGCUUCGGAAACGGAGAGGAAGGUGGGGAUGACGUCAAGUCCUCAUGGCCCUUAUGUCCAGGGCGACACACGUGUUACAAUGGCGAGCAACAAAGGGGUGCAAAAUCGCGAGGUGGAGCAAAUCCCAUAAAACUCGUCUAAGUUCGGAUUGAAGUCUGCAAUUCGACUUCAUGAAGCUGAAAUCGCUAGUAAUCGCGUAUCAGAACGACGCGGUGAAUACGUUCUCGGACCUUGUACACACCGCCCGUCACACCACGAAAGCCGUCUACGCCCGAAACUAUUUUAGCUAACCAGGAAACUGGAGGCGGGU
rnacentral:rRNA from 1 species